UUUUAAAUUGAGAGUUUGAUCCUGGCUCAGGACGAACGCUGGCGGCGUGCCUAACACAUGCAAGUCGAGCGAUGAAGCUUCCUUCGGGAAGUGGAUUAGCGGCGGACGGGUGAGUAACACGUGGGUAACCUGCCUCAAAGAGUGGGAUAGCCUUCCGAAAGGGAGAUUAAUACCGCAUAAU
rnacentral:rRNA from 1 species